UGGGGAAUAUUGGGCAAUUGGCGCAAGCCUUACCCAGCAACGCCGCGUUAAGGAAUAAGGCUUUCGGGUUUUAAACUUCUUUUGUCAGGGACGAAACAAAUGACGGUACCUGUCGCUUAAGCCACGUCUAACUACGUGCCAGCAUCCGCGGUAAUACGUAGGUGGCUAGCGUUAUCCGGUUUUUUUGGGUGUAAAGGGCGUGUAGGCGGGACUGAAAGUCAGAUGUGAAAAUUUUGG
rnacentral:rRNA from 1 species